rfam:Ipomoea nil DNA, scaffold: scaffold1570, cultivar: Tokyo-kokei standard.
GGUUUUGUGGUGUAGUUGGUUAUCACGUCAGUUUAACAUACUUAAGGUCAACGCCGGUUCAAGUCCGGCCGAGGCCA